UGCUUGGGAAUAUGCCUUGAGGUGGGGGACAACAGUUGGAAACGACUGCUAAUACCGCAUAAUGUCUACGGACCAAAGGAGGGGAUCUUCGGACCUUUCGCCUUUAGAUUAGCCCAAGUGAGAUUAGCUAGUUGGUGGGGUAAUGGCCUACCAAGGCGACGAUCUCUAGCUGGUUUGAGAGGAUGAUCAGCCACACUGGGACUGAGACACGGCCCAGACUCCUACGGGAGGCAGCAGUAGGGAAUCUUCCACAAUGGACGAAAGUCUGAUGGAGCAACGCCGCGUGAGUGAUGAAGGUUU
rnacentral:rRNA from 1 species